CAUGUGACCCAAACGUGAUAUUUACAUUUGAUUAUUUCUAAAAGUGAAGAUUUUAUUACCUUCUUUUAUUAGUCAAAAAUUUUAAUAAAUAUAUCUUUAUAGUUGAUGUUGAUGUUUAAAGUUAAUUUUAAAAAAAUAUCCUUUACGUUAAAACUACGAUUACCAAAACGAAUUUUUAUUUACGAAAUUGCUAGGUUAGGUCGACAAGUAUUAUUUAAAAGUUUCUUCGUUGAAAAAUAAAAAAAAUAACUCAUCAUGGAAUCCAAAGCUGUCACUCGAACAAAAGGUCAUAUAAAAUCCAAAUUGAAAUCAAGUUUACUUUCUCAUUGUUCACAUCAUCUCAUACCGGGACAUAGUAAAAAUAGAUCGACUUUAGAUAAAAAUCUCAAUGAAGGAAUUAAUGAACUCUCUAUACCAGAAUUGUUUCAAGCUUUUCCUUAUAAUUGUGAUUAUCCUAAGCCACUUUUACCUCCAAGUAAAUUAAAACGUGAUUGCUUUAGAGAAGACUCAAGCAUGCAAUUAAUUCAUACUAAAAGUAAGAUACAAGAUGACAUUAAUAGGUACGUGGAAUUAUACAAGAAACACUCAAAUACUCUUGAAAAGUAUAAUAAACAAAAUUUUAAAUUUAAAAAAGAUGGCAUGAGCUCUGCAACAAUAUCAAAGUAUUUGCUUGAUACUUCACAAAUUUUGGAUUGUGAUCCAGAUCCUAAAUUUUCUGGAAACUAUAAUUGGUAUUACAGCGGUGGUACUUUAAAUGGUAUCUUACAUGAUGUAAGAAAUAUUUUACUAUUUCCUUUUUCGAAUGAACUUAUAGCUUUGCCAAUAGAGCUGAAAGAAGAUUCACUUUUCAAACCAGAUUAUAAAAAUGCUGCUAAAAUAUCUAUAAAAGAGAAUCUUUAUCAAAUAGUGUGCUCAAUGAUAAAUAAUAAUGGUAGAAUUCUAACAAGAUUUAAAAAUAAUUGUUUUCUAUUUAGUCUUUUCAAUUUGGAUAAGAAGAAAUUGAACUUAAUGAAAAUUAGUAAUCAGCCAUCUGAAAUUCCAUAUAUUUCUGUAGAUCUUGAUCCAAUCAAUAUUAACAGCUACUGCACAGUAGAUGUUAAUAGGAAUAUCAAAGUUUGGGAUAUAAAUAAAAAAAGAUCAAUUAUAAACAAGAAUGUCCCUGUAAUGAGAUACCUUGAAGAUAAUUGGGCUUUUAUAAAGUAUGAUGACUCUACUAUUAAUACUAUAAAAUAUAUCGAUAGACAUUGUGUUUAUUAUUAUGAUAGCAGAUCAUCAGAAGAUAAACCUAUAUUAACAAUGUGUCCAAAAGAUUAUUUAGAAGAUUGUGAAAGUCUUUCAUCUUAUGUGGCUAGUAGUAAGAGUGAAUAUUAUGCAUAUGUUACAUCCAAUCACAACUUAUGUUUGAUAGAUAGUAGAUAUCCUGUAAAUUCAGUUGUUAAAAAGUGGACUCAUCAGUUCAAAAGAAGUCCACUGUAUUGUGAUAUAUGUUUUAGAGGAAACGAAGAAUUUAUUGUAUUUGCAAGUCAAGUUGCUGGAGAAACAGGUGUAAUAUUGAAUAAUUGGAAGUCAACUGAAGAGCCACCUCAAACAUUUGGUACACCAUUUACUCCUCCAAGUAAUAUAGAAACAUUAAUUGCACUGCAGUCACGAGGCAAAUGUCUUAAUCCACACAUAAGGAAUAGAUUAUCAUUAUGUAAUACAGGCUGUAUGGCUACAUUUGACCAACAAUUAAACAAUAUAUUUCUUUUUACACAAAAUUCUGUUAAUGACAUUUUUUACCAAAGCAUCAGUCAUCAAGAGACACUAGAUCUUUAUUCUUUAGAAAACUGCAAGGCUUUGCAUAAACUUAAAAUAUGGGAGAGACAGAUUUUGAAAAAUGAUCACCAUGAAAUUGUUGCUCCACUUGUAGUAACAAAGAGAACUAGUGCUCGAGAAAUGCUUAGAACUUUCAUAAAUCAGAAUCUCCAGCCAUCAAUAAUUACCAAAGAUAAGACAGAUAAACAAUAUGUACCAUCAUGGAAAAGAUCUAUAACAGAGCUUAAUUCAUUUGUUGACAUACUCGCCUCGGAGCUAUUACUUCCUUGGGAAGUACUAGAAGAUGCACCAUCAUUUCCUAUAACUGCAGCACCUCAUCAAAAAGUUUUGUCUUGGCUGGGAAUGACAGAAAAUAAUCAACAAGAUCCAUUACUACUAGAUGAUAAUCAUGAGCAGCCAAGGAUAGUUACACAUGCUCAAAGUCCUAAUGCGAUUCAAAGACCUAAUACAUUUGAGGAAAAUCAUGACAGUGAUUUUAUACAAGCAUUUUUACCCAAAGUCAAAUCUCAAGUAACACAGGGUAGCAGAAAAACUAAAAAGAAAUCAGAUUUUGUUCCGGGUUUUUAGAGUUUAGUAUACAAAAGAAAAUUAUAAAUGAGUUUAUAUAAAUAUACCAAAUUUCUCUAAAUUUCAUAAAAAGAAAGUUCCUGUUUCGUGUGUACCUACUGGUGUAAAACAUUUACAUCACAAGGCUAUGGAAUAUGAUAUUGGAGUUUAUUUUGAAGCAAAUGGUCAUGGUACUGUUAUCUUCAAAGAUUCUGC